ensembl:lncRNA
GUUUCCUGUGUUAGUGCCACACGGAACUGGUUUUGGGGUUGUUUUCAUGUUCAGUUUUCUAAUUAAAAAACCAUGGACAAUUACCGUGCUGCAUUUUGGUCCACCUCUCCUUCAUCAGAAGAAUCCGAAUCCAGAGGACAGGUCGCUGGGACACCAGAUUCCUGCAGUGGAAACUGUUCUCCCAGGACAGACAGUCUCUCUGAACUGUACAACCAGCAGUAAUGUGUAGAACUAUCUAGCCUGGUACCAACAGAAAUCUGGAGGAGCUCAUAAACUUCUUAUUUACACUUCAGUCUGGGACUUCAUCUAGAUUGACCUUGUAGUGACUUCACUCUGACCAUCAGUGCAGUCCAGGCUGAAGAUGCAGGAGAUUACUACUGUCAGAAUUACCACAGUAGUGGAUUGUUCACACAGUGAUACAGAGCCGUACAAAAACCUCCCUCAGCCAGACUGCACAGUGACAGUACUGAUACAGCUGGGACCUACUGCAGGUGAUGAGGGGAGGAGAUGAUCCAGUACAAAGACACAGAACUUAUAAGCAUUUCUGAACUGAAAACACCCAUAGGUCCAGACUACAUACAGAUUCCUUCCCUUCUGCAAUGGCAAACAAACCUUUAAUUAACGUUUCAGGCAAUAAGUUGAAUGGACUCCAUGUGAAAGACUGUCUCACAUUAUUUCAGAAUAAAUAUCCCAGUCUCUGCAAGGUCCCCCAGUCAGGUUGUGAGUUUCUAGCAAAGAUUCAACCAUAUUUAUUGAGAUGAAAUAACAUGAUCAUAACCCAUCAAAACAACCUGAGGUUCUGUCAUAGAAGAGACAGUGGCAUGGACCACUGGUGUAGUGAAGUCAACUUUGAAUAUGUUUAGAAAGCAUCAUUCAGAUCAUUCAGAUCACCCCAGCUAAACCUGGACAAUUUGGGCCAAUUGUGCACCGCCUGAUGGGACUACCAAUCAUGGCCAGAUGAGAUGCAGCCUGGAUUUCAACCAUGUACUGUAAUGACACCUCUUGCAUUGAGAUGCAGUGUCUUAGGCCACUGCGCCACUCGGGAGCCUGAGUGGUGCACAGAAGUAAAGAAAAAGGUGAUGGUACAUCAGCAUCAGCAUCACCCCCUAGAUACAAUCCCCAUAUACACCUCACAACCAGACCUCACAACCAGAUAUUGAUGUGAUCAUCUAGCAUUAUAUUAACUAUUUUGAUGAGGAGGUUACUGAAGGUUAGAUCUGUGGGUAAGACAUGAUGCUGGGUUCAGGCAUUAGAUAUAUCUACAUAAUGUAUAAUAUCCAUUUUAUCUGUCAUAGAUUACAUGUUGGAAUAUCUGUUACUGUACCCUCCCUGAAUCCACCAUAGAGGUUCAAACCAGUCCACUCCCUCCCAUCUGGCCCAGUCCAUGGUCUUUUAGGCAGUAAAACAGGUCAACUGCUAGACUGGUAGCUGUAAGAGUGAAACAGAUUUGCAUUGACAGGGCUGGGUGGUUCUGCUUGUCCCAGAAUAGAGCAGCACUGUCACCAGAUGUUCACUCUGUUCCCAGGGGGUUGGAGGUAGAGAAGACCAGGGGGGAAAUAAUGGAAAAGUGUAGACUACACAUUAUUGAAAACAAUUGCUAAAACAUCUAAUAUAAUAAAAUCACAUUAGGAAUGAAACAUUAUACAUACAUUGCAUUCGGUAAGUAUUCAAACCCUUUACUCUGUACUUUGAUGAAGCACCUUUGGCAGCGAUUACAGCUCCGAGUCUUCUUAGGUAUGACGCUACAAGCUUGGCACACCUGUAUUUGGAGAAUUUCUCCCAUUGUUCUCUGCAGAUCCUCUCAAGCUCUGUCAGGUUGGAUGGGGAGCGUCACUGCACAGCUAUUUUCAGGUCUCUCCAGAGAUGGGGCCACUGGCUGGGCCACUCAAGGACAUUCAGAGACUUGUCCCGAAGCCACUUCUGCAUUGUCUUAGCUGUGUGCUUAGGGUCGUUGUCCUGUUGAAAGGUGAAACUCAGUCUGAGGUCCUGUAUGCUCUGGCAAAGGUUUUCAACAAGGAUAUUUCUGGAUCUUUGCUCCGUUCAUCUUUCCCUUGAUCCUGACUAGUUUCCCAGUCCCUGCCUCUGAAAACCAUCCCCACAUCAUGAUGCUGCCACCACCAUGCUUCACCAUAGGGAUGGUGGCAGGUUUCCUGCAGACGUGACAUAUGGCAAUCAGGCCAAAGAGUUCAGUCUUGGCAUCAUCAGACCAGAGAAUCUUGUUGCUCAUGGUCUGAGAGUCCUUUAGGUGCCUUUUGGCAAACUCCAAGUGUGCUGUUCUGGAGUGGCUUCCGUCUGGUCACUCUACGAUAAAGUCCUGAUUGGUGGAGUGCUGCAGAGAUGGUUGUCCUUCUGUAAGGUUCGCCCAUCUCCACAGAGGAACUCUGGAGCUCUAUCAGAGUAACCAUCGGGUUCUUGGUCACCUCCCUGACCAAGGCCCUUCUCCCCCGAUUGCUCAAUUUGGCUGGGCAGCGAGCUCUAGGAAGAGUCUUGAAGUUUGGUGGUUCCAAACUUCUUCCAUUUAAGAAUGAUGGAGGCCACUGUGUUCUUGGGGACCUUCAAUGCUGCAGAAAUGUUUUAGUAUCCUUCCCCAGAUCUGUGCCUCGACACAAUCCUGUCUCUAACGUAACAAAAUGUGGAAAAAGGGAAGCAGUCUGAAUACUUUCCGAAUGCACUCUGUAUGUUAUGGAAAGUAACUGUUCAGCAGUGUGAGCUCUAUGACGACCUUCCCACUCUGUCUGUCGAAUUCUUUGCUCUUGUUUACCUUAAUAGGAUGUCGGUGGGCGGAGCUGGGAGGGUCGUCAGCAAAAUGGGACACACCUGGGCCCGGGUGUGUCCCGGGAUAAAUACACCUUUUCCCCAUUCAUUGAGGAGACUCUCUCCAUGCAGACACACUGUUGGAUUUGGUUGUGGCCUUUUUGUGGACGUUUUGUUUGUUUGCUUUGGCACCUUUCAACACCCCUCAUUAUCACCAUCUAUGCACGCAACCACUCACUUACACUACUGAUUACUGACUGCACACACCAUUGUUAAUUGUAAAUAGUUUACUUUAGUUAAUACAUUUAUUUUUGUUAUUCCUUAUUUCUACGUUGUCUCCCUUUUUGUUAUGGGCUCUGAGCAGUUCUGAGAGCAGAUCUUAGAGGUUUAUUAUCAAAUAUCACUAAUUAUUCUCACUGCUAUUGGUGCUGCAGUUUAACAGGAUUGUUCAUUUGUAGAAAUGAUUGCAGAGUAUUUGUUGAAUCAGAUGCCC